rnacentral:lncRNA from 1 species
CUUUCCUCCCAUCCCCUUGACCUUCCAGGGAAGGGGCUGAGGUCCCUGAAGGCUGGAGCAGACCUGAGUUGCUCAGGGUGCCUGUCUGGAGCAGGGGUAUUUUUAGAGUUGGCUGCACUGUUUACUAGGAAGCCAGCCUGUCCCCUGAACCUUCCCUCUGUCUACGGGGGAGCACUGGCUGCCGGUCCCACCCACUGCCUCUGCGGCUCUGGCCCUUCCUCCCUCCCUCCCAGCUGCUCCUUCCCUGUCCUCUCUGUCACUACGUGGACUCUCUCAGCACAUGGGUGCACUGUCAUUACGACCCUGGGAGACUAUAACAACAGAAAGAGGUGGCCCUUGUCCCCUCCCCCUGACCACCAGGCACAAGAAAUGGCUUGCUUAAUGGGACAAAAGGCUGAAAGAGUAACAGUGCCAGCAAGUAAGUUUGACAGGUGUGACUGGAGUGUAGGGUCUGGCAAGGGAGAAAGUCAGGUGAGCAGACUGGAGACCCAGGAUGGAACUGUCGUGCCAGGAGCCCACCACGGGAAGCCACGGCCACUCCUGUCCUGCGUCAGGGGCCGCCUCAGCAAGAAUGUCAGUCUGGGCUGCAGGAGGGAGAAACAGCAGCAGGGAGGCCCCCCAGGACACAGCGACAGGACUUCUGGGCUUAAUCCUUCAUCCUUCCUUCUAACACCCUAGACUUUGCAAACCCGAACAUUCCUGGGAUGUGCUCAUUUCCAGUCCUCUCCUCACCCACAUUCUUCGUCUUACUAGCUGGUGACCUUCGACAAGUUGUGUGGCUUGAUUUCCUUUACCUGUAAUUCAGAGAAAGUGCAUGUGCCUAUGUGCACACACUCAAGGGUAUACACACACACACCCCCAAAGGGUUGUUAUGAAGCUGCAGUAAAUAAGACUGUGGAAGGAAGCCUUCUGGAAAGCACAGGCUGUACCGAUCUCUCCUCGCCUGCCCUCAGCUGCUAUUCCCAUUCCACGAGGGGAAAUCCUUGCCCGGAAAGCCCUGCUCGUCUUGGCGUGGGGCCCAGGGCGGGCGCCCCCGUGGAGGCCAGGUCUUUCCCUUCCCAUUUCCCUUGUUGAUUCCAGUGCAACGGUUGCUGGCUUGCAGGUGGACAGCCAGGGCUCUGAACUUGCCCUGCUGCAGGGAUAAGGUCCCCCUUGGCUGCUUAGGCUCUAUGGCUGACACUGGGGACCUGGAGAGGUUCAAGGGGCCUUGGCGAGGGAAGGAAUCUCAGGUAUCUCAACGGAGAUGGAUGGGGAUUUCUCAUGUUCAGGCUAUACAGCUCAGAGUUGAUAUGCCGCCUCUACGAAGGCCUUUGGGCAAGAUGAAGAGGCGAUGCUGGGGAGGUGCUCUGAGCCAGGGAAGAGGGGCGACAUGGCAGCGGGGCGGGGAGCAAGAAUCCCAGGAAGCGGACAGAACUUCAGGAAGGCAGAGGUGUGGGUGAGCAGGAAGCAGGAGCACUUGCAGGCAGCCUGCAGCUCCUCCCCGCACCUACCUGCUGCUGAGCUGGCCUUUGGCUUUGACCUCUCCUUCUUCCCCCCUGCCCCCACCCCCACUGAUUAACGAGUCCCCAGGUUUUCAGGUCUUAGAUGUCUCCAGUACACUUCCUCUCUCCUCUAGUCCUGUGGCCACUGCCUGCAACUCACAGCCCUUUCUGGCUUCACCAGACUGCCUGUGGACUCCCUGCCAUGAAAGGAGUUACCUUUUCUUUGGCAGAGACCUGUAACCCCCUCCAUUGGACCUGUUGGUUUAUCUUAUCCAUUUCUGUCAACUCCAAAGCCACACACCCUGUUCUUACCUGCAAAUCUUCAUACAGGGUAUGGCACUUAGCAUAGGCUGAAAAAACAAUUUUUUUUUUCUCUUUUCCGGAAUGGGGAAAUAAAUAAAGCCAAAAAGGAAGGAAGGAAAGAGAG